rnacentral:tRNA from 1 species
GUGGCCUUAGCUCAGUUGGUAGAGCACCUGACUGUUAAUCAGGUUGUCGCUGGUUCGAGUACAGCAGGCUACG